rnacentral:rRNA from 1 species
GCAGUAGCCGCGGUAAUACGGGGGGGCAAGUGUUAUUCGGAAUGACUGGGCGUAAAGGGCACGUAGGCGGUGAAAAGGGUGGAAAGUGAAAGUCGCCAAAACACUGGCGGGGUGCUUUCUUGACCAUUCCACUUGAGUGGGAUAGGGGAGAGUGGAAUUUCGUGUGGAGGGAUCAAAUCCUAAGAUAUACGAAGGAACGCCAACCGCGAAGGCAGCUCUCUGGGUCCCCACUGACGCUGGGGUGCGAAAGCAUGGGGAGCAAACAGGAUCAGAUACCCCUGUAGUCCCUGUCUCUUAUACAC